CACGUAGGGCGCGAGCGUUGUCCGGAAUUAUUGGGCGUAAAGAGCUCGUAGGCGGCCUGUUGCGUCCGCUGUGAAAGCCCGGGGCUUAACCCCCGGGUCUGCAGUGGAUACGGGCAGGCUGGAGGCAGGCAGGGGAGAACGGAAUUCCCGGUGUAGCGGUGAAAUGCGCAGAUAUCGGGAGGAACACCGGUGGCGAAGGCGGUUCUCUGGGCCUGUACUGACGCUGAGGAGCGAAAGCGUGGGGAGCGAACAGG
rnacentral:rRNA from 1 species